GAUGAACGCUGGCGGCGUGCCUAAUACAUGCAAGUCGAGCGAACGGACGAGAAGCUUGCUUCUCUGAUGUUAGCGGCGGACGGGUGAGUAACACGUGGAUAACCUACCUAUAAGACUGGGAUAACUUCGGGAAACCGGAGCUAAUACCGGAUAAUAUUUUGAACCGCAUGGUUCAAAAGUGAAAGACGGUCUUGCUGUCACUUAUAGAUGGAUCCGCGCUGCAUUAGCUAGUUGGUAAGGUAACGGCUUACCAAGGCAACGAUGCAUAGCCGACCUGAGAGGGUGAUCGGCCGCACUGGAACUGAGACACGGUCCAGACUCCUACGGGAGGCAGCAGUAGGGAAUCUUCCGCAAUGGGCGAAAGCCUGACGGAGCAACGCCGCGUGAGUGAUGAAGGUCUUCGGAUCGUAAAACUCUGUUAUUAGGGAAGAACAUAUGUGUAAGUAACUGUGCACAUCUUGACGGUACCUAAUCAGAAAGCCACGGCUAACUACGUGCCAGCAGCCGCGGUAAUACGUAGGUGGCAAGCGUUAUCCGGAAUUAUUGGGCGUAAAGCGCGCGUAGGCGGUUUUUUAAGUCUGAUGUGAAAGCCCACGGCUCAACCGUGGAGGGUCAUUGGAAACUGGAAAACUUGAGUGCAGAAGAGGAAAGUGGAAUUCCAUGUGUAGCGGUGAAAUGCGCAGAGAUAUGGAGGAACACCAGUGGCGAAGGCGACUUUCUGGUCUGUAACUGACGCUGAUGUGCGAAAGCGUGGGGAUCAAACAGGAUUAGAUACCCUGGUAGUCCACGCCGUAAACGAUGAGUGCUAAGUGUUAGGGGGUUUCCGCCCCUUAGUGCUGCAGCUAACGCAUUAAGCACUCCGCCUGGGGAGUACGACCGCAAGGUUGAAACUCAAAGGAAUUGACGGGGACCCGCACAAGCGGUGGAGCAUGUGGUUUAAUUCGAAGCAACGCGAAGAACCUUACCAAAUCUUGACAUCCUUUGACAACUCUAGAGAUAGAGCUUUCCCCUUCGGGGGACAAAGUGACAGGUGGUGCAUGGUUGUCGUCAGCUCGUGUCGUGAGAUGUUGGGUUAAGUCCCGCAACGAGCGCAACCCUUAAGCUUAGUUGCCAUCAUUAAGUUGGGCACUCUAAGUUGACUGCCGGUGACAAACCGGAGGAAGGUGGGGAUGACGUCAAAUCAUCAUGCCCCUUAUGAUUUGGGCUACACACGUGCUACAAUGGACAAUACAAAGGGCAGCGAAACCGCGAGGUCAAGCAAAUCCCAUAAAGUUGUUCUCAGUUCGGAUUGUAGUCUGCAACUCGACUACAUGAAGCUGGAAUCGCUAGUAAUCGUAGAUCAGCAUGCUACGGUGAAUACGUUCCCGGGUCU
rnacentral:rRNA from 1 species